rnacentral:rRNA from 1 species
GAUCCUGGCUUAGGAUGAACGCUAGCGGCAGGCUUAACACAUGCAAGUCGAGGGGCAGCGUGGAGUAGCAAUACUCUGACGGCGACCGGCGAAAGGGUGAGUAACGCGUGAGCAACAUGCCCGUAGUUGGGGGAUAGUCGAUGGAAACGUCGCGUAAUACCCCGUAACAACAGAGGCCGCAUGACCUUUGUUUAAGAGAUUUAUUGUCUACGGAUUGGCUCGCGUACCAUUAGCUAGUUGGCGGGGUAACGGCCCACCAAGGCGACGAUGGUUAGGGGUUCUGAGAGGAAGGUCCCCCACAUUGGAACUGAGACACGGCCCAGACUCCUACGGGAGGCAGCAGUGAGGAAUAUUGGUCAAUGGCCGAGAGGCUGAACCAGCCAUGCCGCGUGCCGGGAUGACGGCCCUAUGGGUUGUAAACCGCUUUUGUUGGGGAGCAAUAAGGUUCACGUGUGGACUGAUGAGAGUACCCAGCGAAUAAGCAUCGGCUAACUCCGUGCCAGCCGCGGC